AACUUGUGGAAGAGUCAGAUGCUUAUCCUGAUCUUGCUGAAUUUCUUAGGGCUGAUGCUCUUGAGGUUUUCUGUGCAAUACUGUUUUUGUGGGAGCCUCAGUUCCAUCCUAUGAUACGUAAGGAACACAAAGAUGUGCUCAAGAAAAUACUUCAUCACGUGACUUCUCUGGAAAACAUAACUUUUCUG